CAGUCGCCGCGGUAAUACGUAGGUGGCAAGCGUUGUCCGGAACUAUUGGGCGUAAAGGGCUCGCAGGCGGUUUCUUAAGUCUGAUGUGAAAGCCCCCGGCUCAACCGGGGAGGGUCAUUGGAAACUGGGAAACUUGAGUGCAGAAGAGGAGAGUGGAAUUCCACGUGUAGCGGUGAAAUGCGUAGAGAUGUGGAGGAACACCAGUGGCGAAGGCGACUCUCUGGUCUGUAACUGACGCUGAGGAGCGAAAGCGUGGGGAGCGAACAGGAUUAGAUACCCGCGUAGUCCCUGUCUCUUAUAC
rnacentral:rRNA from 1 species